rnacentral:piRNA from 1 species
UCAAGCAGGUAAAAUACAAGGUGUCA